rnacentral:rRNA from 1 species
CAGUAGCCGCGGGAAAACGGAGGGGGCUAGCGUUGUUCGGAAUUACUGGGCGUAAAGCGCGCGCAGGCGGUUUCUUAAGUCUGAUGUGAAAGCCCCCGGCUUAACCGGGGAGGGUCAUUGGGAACUGGGAGACUUAGAGUGCAGAAGAGGAGAGUGGAAUUCCAUGUGUAGCGGUGAAAUGCGUAGAUAUAUGGAGGAACACCAGUGGCGAAGGCGACUCUCUGGUCUGUAACUGACGCUGAGGCGCGAAAGCGUGGGGAGCAAACAGGAUUAGAUACCCGAGUAGUCCCUGUCUCUUAUU